rnacentral:rRNA from 1 species
AUUGAACGCUGGCGGCAGGCUUAACACAUGCAAGUUGAGCGGGGUGAUGGUGCUUGCACUAUCACUUAGCGGCGGACGGGUGAGUAAUGCUUAGGAAUCUGCCUAUUAGUGGGGGACAACAUCUCGAAAGGGAUGCUAAUACCGCAUACGUCCUACGGGAGAAAGCAGGGGAUCACUUGUGACCUUGCGCUAAUAGAUGAGCCUAAGUCGGAUUAGCUAGUUGGUGGGGUAAAGGCCUACCAAGGCGACGAUCUGUAGCGGGUCUGAGAGGAUGAUCCGCCACACUGGGAAGUAGACACGGCCCAGACUCCUACGGGAGGCAGCAGUGGGGAAUAUUGGACAAUGGGGGGAACCCUGAUCCAGCCAUGCCGCGUGUGUGAAGAAGGCCUUAUGGUUGUAAAGCACGUUAAGCGAGGAGGAGGCUCUUUUGGUUAAUACCCAAGAUGAGUGGACGUUACUCGCAGAAUAAGCACCGGCUAACUCUGUGCCAGCAGCCGCAGUAA